CCUCUGUCUUAUUUCCUACUAGGAGAUACUGGAUGCCCUACAAAAAGCAGAGCCUAAAACAGAGGAUCUUAAGUCUCAACUGAAUGAACUUUGUCGAUUUUCCAGAGACCUAAGUACAUACAGUGGAAAAGUUUCUGGCUUGAUUAAAGAAUAUAAUUGUCUUUGUUUGCAAGCAUCCAAGGGCUGUCAGAAUAGAGAACAGAUUUUACAACAACGAUUUCAAAGAGCCUUCAAGGAUUUCCAGCAGUGGUUGGUUAAUGCAAAAAUCACUACUGCGAAAUGUUUCGAUAUACCUCAAAAUAUUAAUGAAGUUUCAACAAGUCUUCAGAAAAUACAAGAAUUUUUGUCAGAAAGUGAAAAUGGACAGCACAAGCUUAACAUGAUGUUGUCUAAAGGAGAACUUUUGAGUACUCUGUUGACCAAAGAGAAAGCUGAUGGCAUCCAGGCCAAAGUUGCAACUGCAAAAGAAGAUUGGAAAAAUUUUCAUUCAAAUCUCCACCAGAAGGAAUCUGCCCUAGAGGUAUAACAUAGCCAGGCACAUGGACACGUUCUCUGUAGUUUGUUGUUGUAGUCAUUGUUGUCAGUCAAAACCACACUUUCAAUAUAUCUAAAUACAGUUGCCAAUGAUUUUGGUCAUUCCUCUCUGAAUAUUAAUGGAUAACUGGGCAACUCUAAGAAACAGCUCGAUUUUUGAAGUAGGAACCUCGCUGAGGAAUUUGAGAGCUUGCCUGGUAGGGACCGUCAUAGGCUUGCACUGUCCCACCAGAAAUAGUUGGUUUUUGCUUUUAAACAAUAUCACUUAAUCAUUCAUUUGAAAUCCCUCAAGUUUGGAAGUCAUUCUAGGAGAAUGAACAGGAAUAUCCAUGUAAGACUAUAAAAUGCUAUGGAUGAUAAAAUAUAAUUAAUGCAGAUAUAAAGCAGUAGGUUGUAUGCAAAGAGCCAAUGAUUAUGCAAAUUUCUUUUAUCCAGAGACAACAUAAGUUGAAUUUAUUAUAAUCAUAACUACUGCCAUGAUGCAAUUGUUUUUGUUUUGUUUUUUCUUGUGAGAUCACCUGUAUUUUGUAUCCACUCUUAGAGGAAAAUUUGUAGGCAUGGAGAAUAAUUUUUUCCCUUUCAACCAACACUUCAUGGCAGAAUAGAUCCUUUAUUUGAUUAUGAUCAUAAUUAAUACAGAUGGAAAAGAAUAAUAAUAGAGAAUUAAUAUCUGGAAAGAGAAAAUGUGUGUUCCCUCGAUUGUUCCCUAGCCCAAGACUAUUGUAAUUUUUCUCUGUAAUGGUGGCUAUUCUUUCAUGGCAGGCAUCUUCCAUUUAAUAGCGGUAACCAUUGUGCAGUGCCUAGAAAUUGAAUCAUAACCUUACAGAGAUCAUUAGGGUAAUGUGGCUUGAGCUCUGAAGCAUUUAUUGUUGAAGGUAGUACAUCUAACAUUGAUUGCAUGAUUACGUAGUCCAAGAGAUGUCCAGGAAUAAAUGGGUAGGUGGAGAAUAACCUGACUUUUUGCCUUCCUUAUUAUCUUCCUUCCCUUUUUUCUCUGCCCUGUCCUACCUUCCCUUCUUCCUUCAUUUCUAUUAGGAAUGAAAUAGAAAACAAUAUGUGCCAGCUACUAUGUUAGGAAUGCAAAAGGGUUAUUCUCUUGCCUUUCCUCAGGGAGUUUACUUUCCAGAGAGGGAAAUAGUCUAUAAAGAGAUGAUUGCAAUAUAAUAUAGAUACAUUCAGGUUGUGGUAGUCACUCAGAACAAUCCAAGUAACUCCACUUGGAGAAAUCGAGGAAAGUUACCAGAAAGGUGACAUUUUAAUUGAACCUUGAAGCUAAACUUUCUUUGAAUUUGCCAAGGCUGACCUGCAUUUCAGGCAGAAGGAACUGGAUGUGCAGGACCAGAGUGUUGUGAGUGUCAACAAUGGGGAACUUUGAGAAGUUUGAUAUCCAUGUGGGGUUUUGUGGGAGGAACAACAAAGAUAAGAUUGGAAAUGAAGAUUAGGGCAAAAUAGGAAAUGUCUUAUGUACUAAGCAAUUUGAUCAUGACUCUUAUCAGGGUUUUUGUUUUUUUUUUU